rnacentral:rRNA from 1 species
GAAUCUUCCACAAUGGGCGCAAGCCUGCUGGAGCAACGCCGCGUGCAGGAUGAAGGCCUUCGGGUUGUAAACUUCUUUUGUUUUCGAAGAUUAUGACCGUAGAUUACGAAUAAGGACCUGCUAACUACGUUCCAGCAGCCGCGGUCAUACGUAGGGUCCAAGCGUUAUCCGGAUUGACUGGGCGUAAAGAGAUGCGUAGGCGGUUAUUUAAGCAGAUAGUGAAAUCGAGUGGCUCAACCAUUUCGCUGCUAUCUGAACUGGGUAACUUGAGUAUGGAAGGGGUCGCUGGAAUUACUAGUGUAGGAGUGAAAUCCGUAGAUAUUAGUAGGAACACCGAUGGCGAAGGCAGGCGACUGGUCCAUUACUGGCGCUAAGGCUCGAAAGCGUGGGGAGCGAACCGG